AUGGCGAAUUUCCACAUCACCGCUCUCAGCCUGCCGAAAUGGAUCCUGCGAAAAGUUGAGAAGAUCAUUCGCGGGUUUCUAUGGCAGAAAGAGGAUCAAACGCAAACUUCUGGAGGGCACUCCCUCGUUAACUAGAAGACCGUCUGUCGUCCAAGGAGGUUGGGCGGCCUGGGAAUCGCUGACCUUGACCGUUUUGGCCGCGCCCUCCGCCUUCGCUGGCCCUGGAUACAAUGGACGGACACAGAGAGGCCAUGGGUGGGCACUGACCUGCCAUGCGACCAGGCUGAUAUGAACCUUUUUCGCGCAAGCACAACCAUAACUUUAGGAGAUGGCCGCAAGGCACUUUUCUGGCAUGACAACUGGAGUGGAAGGGGCCCUCUAACGCUACUUGCGCCGGAGCUUUACAAAAUAGCUUCAAGAAAAAAUAGGACCGUGCAUCAGGAGUUGACAAAUGAAAACUGGAUCAAAGCAGUCGCUAGCCUUCGAUCCCUGCAACAACUGGGGGAAUUUGUCACUCUUUGGGGAUGGAUCAGCCAGACAGUUCUGUUGCUAGAUCAAGAUGAUACAAUCUCCUGGAACCUGACCACAAAUGGAGCCUACUCUUCCGCAUCGGCCUAUGCGGCGCAGUUCUUUGGCUCACCCCAAGAUUUGACUCUUCAAAGGUCUGGUCUGCUCACGCUGAGCCCAAGUGCAAAUUCUUUGCGUGGCUAG
rnacentral:rRNA from 1 species